rnacentral:lncRNA from 1 species
AGAUGACCAAUCCUCACGUGAAGUUUUGGACAAACUCUCCUUCACACACCGUAACUCUUAACUCUUAACUUUUAUGCACAAAACCUUCAAACACUUAGCAAACCAACAGACAUUCUGUAUGAGCUGCUGAAAACACUUGCAGAUGAGUCAUAAAAGACGUGGCUAAUUCAUGGCAAAAAUUUGAGGCCAACAUCUGUCACAAGCCAUGACUCAGCUAGCUGGCCAACUCAUCGUCAGCUGCCCAAUCACAUGCAAGACCAUGCAAUCGUUCGGGGGCCGAACUUUACCUUCGGAAGCCGAACAUUGGGCACUUUCGGCGGCCGAACUUAUCUUCGGCGGCCGAACUUGGCUCCUCUGCCUUGGUUCAUUGCAACUCAAAACU